AACGAACGCUGGCGGCAUGCCUAACACAUGCAAGUCGAACGAGACCUCGGGGCGAGUGGCGCACGGGUGCGUAACGCGGGGGAACCUGUCAUUAGGUUCGGAAUAACCUCCCGAAAGGGGUUAUCAUACCGGAUACUGUCCUUGGACCAAAGAAUUUGUGGAUCUGGAUGGGUCCGGGUUGGAUUAGCUAGUUGGUAGGGGAAAAGCCUACCAAGGCGACGAUCCAUAGCUGGUCUGAGGGGACGCUCAGCCACACCGGGACUGAGACACGGCCCAGACUCCUACGGGAGUGAGCAGUAGGGAAUAGUGGACACGGGGCGAAAGCCUGAUCCAGCAAUGCCGCGUGAGUGAUGAAGGCCUUAGGGGAGUAAAGCUCUAUUACCCGGUAUGAUAAUGACAGGACCGGGAGAAUAAGCCCCGGCUAACUCCGUG
rnacentral:rRNA from 1 species